rnacentral:rRNA from 1 species
UACGGAGGAUGCAAGCGUUAUCCGGAAUGGUUGGGCGUAAAGCGUCCGCAGGUGGUUUUGAAAGUCUGCUGUUGAAGCGUCAGGCUUAACCUGAUAAAGGCAGUGGAAACUAUGAGACUAGAGUGCGUUAGGGGCAGAGGGAAUUCCCAGUGUAGCGGUGAAAUGCGUAGAGAUUGGGAAGAACACCGGUGGCGAAGGCGCUCUGCUAUGCCGCAACUGACACUGAGGGACGAAAGCCAGGGGAGCGAACGGG